rnacentral:rRNA from 1 species
UACGUAGGGUGCGAGCGUUAAUCGGAUUUACUGGGCGUAAAGCGUGCGCAGGCGGCCCGUUAAGACAGGUGUGAAAUCCCUGGGCUCAACCUAGGAAUUGCGCUUGUGACUGGCGGGCUCGAGUACGGUAGAGGGUGGUAGAAUUUCCAGUGUAGCGGUGAAAUGCGUAGAUAUUGGAAGGAAUACCGGUGGCGAAGGCAGCCCCCUGGGCCUGUACUGACGCUCAUGCACGAAAGCGUGGGGAGCAAACAGG